rnacentral:rRNA from 1 species
UACGUAGGGUGCAAGCGUUGUCCGGAAUUAUUGGGCGUAAAGAGCUCGUAGGCGGUCUGUCGCGUCUGGUGUGGAAACUCAGGGCUUAACCCUGAGCUUCGCAUCGGGUACGGGCAGGACUAGAGUGCGGUAGGGGAGACUGGAAUUCCUGGUGGUAGCGGUGAAAUGCGUAGAUAUCAGGAGGAACACCGGUGGCGAAGGCGGCUCCUGGAC